CCUGCCCCUAGAGGCCUUGAUUGGCAUGGCUGCUGUGUCUUAUGAGUGUCAGUAGGUGGCAGAGAGAAGAGAGGCUAUGUCUACACUCAUGGUUCUAUCUAACCUGUCAAUAUCUGAAUGAUUAGUAGCCUGAAAGA